ACUCCUACGGGAGGCAGCAGUGGGGAAUAUUGCACAAUGGGGGAAACCCUGAUGCAGCCAUGCCGCGUGUGUGAAGAAGGCCCUUGGUUGUAAAGCACUUCAGUAGGGAGGAAGGUAGUGUAGUUAACACCUGCACUAUUUGACGUUACCUACAGAAGAAGCACCGGCUAACUCCGUGCCAGCAGCCGCGGUAAUACGGAGGGGUGCGAGCGUUAAUCGGAAUUACUGGGCGUAAAGCGCAUGCAGGCGGCCUGUUAAGUCAGAUGUGAAAGCCCGGGGGGCUUAACCUCGGAAUUGCAUUUGAAACUGGCAGGCUAGAGUCUUGUAGAGGGGGUAGGAA
rnacentral:rRNA from 1 species